rnacentral:piRNA from 1 species
UGGCAACUGCUCACGCGGACAACGGGC